GGGACACGUGGUAUCCUGUCUGAAUAUGGGGGGACCAUCCUCCAAGGCUAAAUACUCCUGACUGACCGAUAGUGAACCAGUACCGUGAGGGAAAGGCGAAAAGAACCCCGGCGAGGGGAGUGAAAAAGAACCUGAAACCGUGUACGUACAAGCAGUGGGAGCCUCUUUAUGGGGUGACUGCGUACCUUUUGUAUAAUGGGUCAGCGACUUAUAUUCUGUAGCAAGGUUAACCGAAUAGGGGAGCCGAAGGGAAACCGAGUCUUAACUGGGCGUUAAGUUGCAGGGUAUAGACCCGAAACCCGGUGAUCUAGCCAUGGGCAGGUUGAAGGUUGGGUAACACUAACUGGAGGACCGAACCGACUAAUGUUGAAAAAUUAGCGGAUGACUUGUGGCUGGGGGUGAAAGGCCAAUCAAACCGGGAGAUAGCUGGUUCUCCCCGAAAGCUAUUUAGGUAGCGCCUCGUGAACUCAUCUCCGGGGGUAGAGCACUGUUUCGGCAAGGGGGUCAUCCCGACUUACCAACCCGAUGCAAACUGCGAAUACCGGAGAAUGUUAUCACGGGAGACACACGGCGGGUGCUAACGUCCGUCGUGAAGAGGGAAACAACCCAGACCGCCAGCUAAGGUCCCAAAGUCAUGGUUAAGUGGGAAACGAUGUGGGAAGGCCCAGACAGCCAGGAUGUUGGCUUAGAAGCAGCCAUCAUUUAAAGAAAGCGUAAUAGCUCACUGGUCGAGUCGGCCUGCGCGGAAGAUGUAACGGGGCUAAACCAUGCACCGAAGCUGCGGCAGCGACGCUUAUGCGUUGUUGGGUAGGGGAGCGUUCUGUAAGCCUGUGAAGGUGUGCUGUGAGGCAUGCUGGAGGUAUCAGAAGUGCGAAUGCUGACAUAAGUAACGAUAAAGCGGGUGAAAAGCCCGCUCGCCGGAAGACCAAGGGUUCCUGUCCAACGUUAAUCGGGGCAGGGUGAGUCGACCCCUAAGGCGAGGCCGAAAGGCGUAGUCGAUGGGAAACAGGUUAAUAUUCCUGUACUUGGUGUUACUGCGAAGGGGGGACGGAGAAGGCUAUGUUGGCCGGGCGACGGUUGUCCCGGUUUAAGCGUGUAGGCUGGUUUUCCAGGCAAAUCCGGAAAAUCAAGGCUGAGGCGUGAUGACGAGGCACUACGGUGCUGAAGCAACAAAUGCCCUGCUUCCAGGAAAAGCCUCUAAGCAUCAGGUAACAUCAAAUCGUACCCCAAACCGACACAGGUGGUCAGGUAGAGAAUACCAAGGCGCUUGAGAGAACUCGGGUGAAGGAACUAGGCAAAAUGGUGCCGUAACUUCGGGAGAAGGCACGCUGAUAUGUAGGUGAAGUCCCUCGCGGAUGGAGCUGAAAUCAGUCGAAGAUACCAGCUGGCUGCAACUGUUUAUUAAAAACACAGCACUGUGCAAACACGAAAGUGGACGUAUACGGUGUGACGCCUGCCCGGUGCCGGAAGGUUAAUUGAUGGGGUCAGCGCAAGCGAAGCUCUUGAUCGAAGCCCCGGUAAACGGCGGCCGUAACUAUAACGGUCCUAAGGUAGCGAAAUUCCUUGUCGGGUAAGUUCCGACCUGCACGAAUGGCGUAAUGAUGGCCAGGCUGUCUCCACCCGAGACUCAGUGAAAUUGAACUCGCUGUGAAGAUGCAGUGUACCCGCGGCAAGACGGAAAGACCCCGUGAACCUUUACUAUAGCUUGACACUGAACAUUGAGCCUUGAUGUGUAGGAUAGGUGGGAGGCUUGGAAGUGUGGACGCCAGUCUGCAUGGAGCCGACCUU
rnacentral:rRNA from 1 species